rnacentral:rRNA from 1 species
AUUAUCCUACGGGGGGCAGCAGUGGGGAAUAUUGCACAAUGGGCGCAAGCCUGAUGCAGCGACGCCGCGUGCGGGAUGGAGGCCUUCGGGUUGUAAACCGCUUUUGUUCAAGGGCAAGGCACGGUCUUUGGCCGUGUUGAGUGGAUUGUUCGAAUAAGCACCGGCUAACUACGUGCCAGCAGCCGCGGUAAUACGUAGGGUGCAAGCGUUAUCCGGAUUUAUUGGGCGUAAAGGGCUCGUAGGCGGUUCGUCGGGUCCGGUGUGAAAGUCCAUGGUUUAACGGUGGAUGCGCGCCGGGUAAGGGG